rnacentral:rRNA from 1 species
GGUUAAGCGACUAAGCGUACACGGUGGAUGCCCUGGCAGUCAGAGGCGAUGAAGGACGUGCUAAUCUGCGAUAAGCGUCGGUAAGGUGAUAUGAACCGUUAUAACCGGCGAUUUCCGAAUGGGGAAACCCAGUGUGUUUCGACACACUAUCAUUAACUGAAUCCAUAGGUUAAUGAGGCGAACCGGGGGAACUGAAACAUCUAAGUACCCCGAGGAAAAGAAAUCAACUGAGAUUCCCCCAGUAGCGGCGAGCGAACGGGGAGGAGCCCAGAGCCUGAAUCAGUGUGUGUGUUAGUGGAAGCGUCUGGAAAGGCGCGCGAUACAGGGUGACAGCCCCGUACACAAAAAUGCACAUAUUGUGAGCUCGAUGAGUAGGGCGGGACACGUGGUAUCCUGUCUGAAUAUGGGGGGACCAUCCUCCAAGGCUAAAUACUCCUGACUGACCGAUAGUGAACCAGUACCGUGAGGGAAAGGCGAAAAGAACCCCGGCGAGGGGAGUGAAAAAGAACCUGAAACCGUGUACGUACAAGCAGUGGGAGCACAGAGCAAUCUGUGUGACUGCGUACCUUUUGUAUAAUGGGUCAGCGACUUAUAUUCUGUAGCAAGGUUAACCGAAUAGGGGAGCCGAAGGGAAACCGAGUCUUAACUGGGCGUUAAGUUGCAGGGUAUAGACCCGAAACCCGGUGAUCUAGCCAUGGGCAGGUUGAAGGUUGGGUAACACUAACUGGAGGACCGAACCGACUAAUGUUGAAAAAUUAGCGGAUGACUUGUGGCUGGGGGUGAAAGGCCAAUCAAACCGGGAGAUAGCUGGUUCUCCCCGAAAGCUAUUUAGGUAGCGCCUCGUGAACUCAUCUCCGGGGGUAGAGCACUGUUUCGGCAAGGGGGUCAUCCCGACUUACCAACCCGAUGCAAACUGCGAAUACCGGAGAAUGUUAUCACGGGAGACACACGGCGGGUGCUAACGUCCGUCGUGAAGAGGGAAACAACCCAGACCGCCAGCUAAGGUCCCAAAGUCAUGGUUAAGUGGGAAACGAUGUGGGAAGGCCCAGACAGCCAGGAUGUUGGCUUAGAAGCAGCCAUCAUUUAAAGAAAGCGUAAUAGCUCACUGGUCGAGUCGGCCUGCGCGGAAGAUGUAACGGGGCUAAACCAUGCACCGAAGCUGCGGCAGCGACGCUUAUGCGUUGUUGGGUAGGGGAGCGUUCUGUAAGCCUGCGAAGGUGUGCUGUGAGGCAUGCUGGAGGUAUCAGAAGUGCGAAUGCUGACAUAAGUAACGAUAAAGCGGGUGAAAAGCCCGCUCGCCGGAAGACCAAGGGUUCCUGUCCAACGUUAAUCGGGGCAGGGUGAGUCGACCCCUAAGGCGAGGCCGAAAGGCGUAGUCGAUGGGAAACAGGCUAAUAUUCCUGUACUUGGUGUUACUGCGAAGGGGGGACGGAGAAGGCUAUGUUGGCCGGGCGACGGUUGUCCCGGUUUAAGCGUGUAGGCUGGUUUUCCAGGCAAAUCCGGAAAAUCAAGGCUGAGGCGUGAUGACGAGGCACUACGGUGCUGAAGCAACAAAUGCCCUGCUUCCAGGAAAAGCCUCUAAGCAUCAGGUAACAUCAAAUCGUACCCCAAACCGACACAGGUGGUCAGGUAGAGAAUACCAAGGCGCUUGAGAGAACUCGGGUGAAGGAACUAGGCAAAAUGGUGCCGUAACUUCGGGAGAAGGCACGCUGAUAUGUAGGUGAAGUCCCUCGCGGAUGGAGCUGAAAUCAGUCGAAGAUACCAGCUGGCUGCAACUGUUUAUUAAAAACACAGCACUGUGCAAACACGAAAGUGGACGUAUACGGUGUGACGCCUGCCCGGUGCCGGAAGGUUAAUUGAUGGGGUCAGCGCAAGCGAAGCUCUUGAUCGAAGCCCCGGUAAACGGCGGCCGUAACUAUAACGGUCCUAAGGUAGCGAAAUUCCUUGUCGGGUAAGUUCCGACCUGCACGAAUGGCGUAAUGAUGGCCAGGCUGUCUCCACCCGAGACUCAGUGAAAUUGAACUCGCUGUGAAGAUGCAGUGUACCCGCGGCAAGACGGAAAGACCCCGUGAACCUUUACUAUAGCUUGACACUGAACAUUGAGCCUUGAUGUGUAGGAUAGGUGGGAGGCUUAGAAGUGUGGACGCCAGUCUGCAUGGAGCCGACCUUGAAAUACCACCCUUUAAUGUUUGAUGUUCUAACGUUGACCCGUAAUCCGGGUUGCGGACAGUGUCUGGUGGGUAGUUUGACUGGGGCGGUCUCCUCCUAAAGAGUAACGGAGGAGCACGAAGGUUGGCUAAUCCUGGUCGGACAUCAGGAGGUUAGUGCAAUGGCAUAAGCCAGCUUGACUGCGAGCGUGACGGCGCGAGCAGGUGCGAAAGCAGGUCAUAGUGAUCCGGUGGUUCUGAAUGGAAGGGCCAUCGCUCAACGGAUAAAAGGUACUCCGGGGAUAACAGGCUGAUACCGCCCAAGAGUUCAUAUCGACGGCGGUGUUUGGCACCUCGAUGUCGGCUCAUCACAUCCUGGGGCUGAAGUAGGUCCCAAGGGUAUGGCUGUUCGCCAUUUAAAGUGGUACGCGAGCUGGGUUUAGAACGUCGUGAGACAGUUCGGUCCCUAUCUGCCGUGGGCGCUGGAGAAUUGAGGGGGGCUGCUCCUAGUACGAGAGGACCGGAGUGGACGCAUCACUGGUGUUCGGGUUGUCAUGCCAAUGGCACUGCCCGGUAGCUAAAUGCGGAAGAGAUAAGUGCUGAAAGCAUCUAAGCACGAAACUUGCCCCGAGAUGAGUUCUCCCUGACUCCUUGAGAGUCCUGAAGGAACGUUGAAGACGACGACGUUGAUAGGCUGGGUGUGUAAGCGCAGCGAUGCGUUGAACUAACCGGUACUAAUGAACCGUGAGGCUUAACCUU